rnacentral:lncRNA from 1 species
CAGAGCUUCAGUGAGCCGAGAUCAUGCCACUGCACUCCAGCCUGGGCAAAAAAGCGAGACUCCGUCUCAAAAAAAAAAAUUGUGCCUGGGUGCGGUGGCUCACGCCUGUUAUCCCAGCAUUUUUCGAGGCCAAGGAGGGUGGAUUGCUGGAGGCCAGGAGUUCAAGACCAGCCUGGGCAACAUAAUAAAACCCCAUCUCUACAAAAAAGUACAAAAAUUAGCUGGAUGUGCUGGUACAUGCCUGUAGUCCCAGCUCUAGGGAGGCUGAAGUGGGAGGAUCACCUGAGCCCAGGAGGCUGAGGCUGCAGUGAGCCAAGAUCACGGCACUGCACUCCAGCCUGGGCAAGAGAGUGAGACACUGUCUCAAAAACAAAAAAAUUUUUUUUUAGAGGUGGGGUCUUGCUAUAUUGCCUAAGCCAGUCUCAAACUCCUGGCCUCAGGUGAUCCUCCUGCCUUGGCCUCGCAAAGUGCUAGGAUUAUUCAGGCAUGAGCCACCACACCCAGCUGAAUCCGGAUUUUUUUUUAAUUAACUUUAUUGAGAUAUACAUACAAGAAAAUGCACCCAUGUAAGUUCAGCUUGCUCUCUUUUAAUAAGUGUAACCAGCACCUCAAUAAAGAUAUAGAACAUGUCCACAACUCCACAAAGCCCACCGGUGCCCUUUGAGGUCAGUCCCUACCCUUGGUCCCAGGCAACCACGGAUCUGCCUUCUGUUGGGGAUGACUUUUGGUGUUUCUUUUGCUCAGCAUGUUUCUGAGAUUCGUGGGUGUUGUACACACCAGUGGUCUGUGCCUCACAAUUGCAGAACAGGGUUUUGCAUACUUUAUUCACUCAUCCACUGAUGGACAUUUAGAUAGUUUCCAGUUGGGGACUAUCAAAAAUAAAAAUGUUGUGAACAUUCAGUUAUAGAUAUUUGUUGGGACAUAGGUUUCAUUUCCCUUGAGUAGAUACCUAGGAGUGGAAGUGAAUUGCAGAGUUGUGGGUUAAGUAGUGUAGGUCAAGCUUUGAAACUUCCCAGUGAUUCUCUACCCAUGGCCGCGCAGGCCUCUAGUGGCUUUGUAUCUUCUCCAGCCAUUGGCAUUGUUGGUCCUCUUUUUUUUUUUUGAAAUGGGGUCUUGCUCUGUCACCCAGGCUGGAGUGCAAUGGCACGAUCUUGGGUCACUGCAACCUCCUGGGUUCAAGCAGUUCUCCUGCUUCAGCCUCCCAAGUAGCUGGAAUUACAGGCAUGUGCCACCAUGCCCUGAUAAUUUUUGUAUUUUUAGUAGAGACGGGGUUUCGCCAUGUUGGCCAGCCUGAUCUCAAACGCCUGACCUCAGGUGAUCCGCCCACUUUGGCCUCCCACGGUGCUGGGAUUACAGGCAUGAGCCACCAGGCCCACCCAUUGGUCUUCUUAAUUUUGGCUCCUCUGGUGGGUGUGUAGUAGUCUCUCUUGUGGUUUUGAUUUGCAUUUCUUUGCUAACUGAAGGUGCAGCACAUUUUAAUUGUUAGCUGACAUUUGUAAUUUAUAGUUGUGAACUGGCAGGCCAUUUGCCUUCAGUGGGAAAAUCUGUGUGUGUGUUGCUUGUCUUAUUAUUGUAAGAGUUUGUUUUUCUCUGGAUUUGAGUUCCUGUUGUGCGAGAGAUACAUAGGGUAUUUUCUCCCAGUCUGUAGCUUGUCUUUUCAUUUCCUUUUCUUUUUCUUUUUUUUGAGACAGAGUCUUGCCCUGUCGCCCAGGCUGGGGUGCAGUGGCGCGAUCUCAGCUCACUCCAGGCUUGUCUCGAACUCCUGACCUCAUGAUCCACCUGCCUCAGCCUCCCAAAGUGCUGGGAUUAGAGGCGUGAGCCACCGCACCCAGACUUCAUUUCUUUUUCUUUUUUUUGAGACAGAGUCUUGCUCCGUUGCCCAGGCUAGAGUGCAGUGGCGCGAUCUUGGCUCACUGCAACCUCUGCCUCCCAGGUUCAAGCUUUUCUCCUGCCUCAGCCACAUGAAUGCUGGGACUACAGGCGCCUACCAC